rnacentral:pre_miRNA from 1 species
CCGUGCUGGGGUCUCAGCUGGCCAUGCUCAGGGGCGCCUCCACCAUGGCCCGGGCUCUGUUCCUCCUCACCCUCCUCUCUCAGGGCACAGGUGA